UUUUCUUUUCUUUAUAUGCCGUGUCUGUGAUUUACAGCCUCGGGCGACUGAACAAGUGACUCAGCUACAGGAUCUCGCUGAACAGGCAGACGUGAAAUCAUAUGAUGUAUCUGAGGAUGACAUGGAGCCGCGGCACAGAACUUACCUGAAUGUGUAACCGAAAACAUUGGAGAGAAGGUCCUCCCAACUCCUAUCCGGGAGUUCACUCAGAAGGUGCUGAAAGGAUUUCUUCACCUCCUUCUACGAGAAGCUGAAAGCCCAUAGGAGUAGGUCAAAGACACGCGGAUCUACUUGGUCUUUGCUCGAGUGGCAUUCCCACAUGCCCGCAGCAGAACACAUCUUUCAACGCGUCUCUAUCUACCUUAACAAAGAGAUCAAUCGGGGUAUGCAGUCACUUAGCUGACAACCAUCAGAUCAAUCUCUACAUUUUUCUGAUUGCUCUAAAGAUGAAGCACUUGGUCAGGAAAAGCUGACUUCAAUUAUCGUACUGCAAUCUCGGAUUAAGUUAUCUCAGUGUGGUCAAAACCAUGUUAAACUCAAAACUCUUUUUAAAUUUUUUUUAUUCUUUUUUUUGUUUUA